rnacentral:rRNA from 1 species
AGUGAACGCUGGCGGUAGGCCUAACACAUGCAAGUCGAACGGCAGCACAGUAAGAGCUUGCUCUUACGGGUGGCGAGUGGCGGACGGGUGAGGAAUACAUCGGAAUCUACUUUUUCGUGGGGGAUAACGUAGGGAAACUUACGGUAAUACCGCAUACGACCUACGGGUGAAAGCAGGGGAUCUUCGGACCUUGCGCGAUUGAAUGAGCCGAUGUCGGAUUAGCUAGUUGGCGGGGUAAAGGCCCACCAAGGCGACGAUCCGUAGCUGGUCUGAGAGGAUGAUCAGCCACACUGGAACUGGGACACGGUCCAGACUCCUACGGGAGGCAGCAGUGGGGAAUAUUGGACAAUGGGCGCAAGCCUGAUCCAGCCAUACCGCGUGGGUGAAGAAGGCCUUCGGGUUGUAAAGCCCUUUUGUUGGGAAAGAAAAGCAGCAGGUUAAUACCCCGCUGUUCUGACGGUACCCAAAGAAUAAGCACCGGCUAACUUCGUG